UGCGGUGGGACCCGAGGUUUGGGUGCGGGAGUGUGGCGGAACGCAAGGGUUGGGGUUGGGAAUGCGGUAGAAGCCAGAGGUUGGGGCACAGGAAUGUGGCAGAACCCGAGGUUUGGGCAUGGAAAUGCAACAGGACCCGAGGUUUGGGCAUGGAAAUGCAACAGGACCCGAGGUUUGGGCAUGGAAAUGCAACAGGACCUGAGGUUUGGGCAUGGAAAUGCAACAGGACCCGAGGUUUGGGCAUGGAAAUGCAACAGGACUCGAGGUUUGGGCAUGGAAAUGCAACAGGACUCGAGGUUUGGGCAUGGAAAUGCAACAGGACUCGAGGCUUGGGCAUGGAAAUGCAACAGGACUCAAGGCUUGGGCAUGAGAGUGUGGCAGACCCCAAAGUUUGGGGGCAGAAAUGCGUCAGAACCCAAAACUUGCACAUGGAAACACAGCAGAAGCCAAGAUUUGGGCAUGGAAACGUGGCACAACCCAAAGUUUGGGUAUGGAAAUCUGACAGAACCCAAGGUCCGGCUGUGGAGACACAGCACUUCCCUCCAGCAUGUGCAGAUCUGCUAGCUCCAAAGCCCAAAGAGUGAAGGAACUGGGGAAUGGGAAAUCCUGGAGGGUUUUAGGAGCUGGAAAUGGGAGGCAGAGGGGCAGGGAAGGGUGUGCAUCCAGCGCUGUGUGGCACAGCAGCUCUGAGUGGCAGAGGCCCUGUGCCAGUGCUGGGUUUGGGCCCUGGGCACUGCUGGGUGCCCACGUUGGCUGCAGGGCGAUGGUUUGGUGCCCUCUAAGCGUCCCAAAGGGGGGUGGCACUGGUUGGGUCGGUGCGCCGUGUGUAGUGUGGGUUCACCAAAGGCUCUCCGUGCCUUUGGGGAAGUGCUGCAUUGCGCCCUGCUGUGCC